CUUCUUCCCGUAUCUUACUGGCAUGAAUACCUAGACUUGAUCCUCUUCUUCAAAAUCACACACGGUUUAGUAGAAAUGUCUGCUCUUCCUGACAUUCAUGUUAUGCAAAGAACGACACGAUCAUCAUCAAGUAAUAACGCUAAAUAUCUUGUCCGCAAAUGUAAAACCAGUAUCUACCAGCAGUCGUUUUUUGUCUGAAUGUGUCGA